CACCGUGAGGUGGAAUCUGAAGGAAGCCAGAUGUGGGAAACCUACUAGCCCACGGGCAAACCUCUGGUCUGACGGACAGAAAUCGCAUAUAAGGCUGUACAUGAGGGUAAGUCUGCUAGACAAGAUGAAGCCCGAUAACUACACGGAAUCAUGUGCAGUAAAUGCGACAGAUAGAUGGAGGAAAAGAAAU
rnacentral:ncRNA from 1 species